rnacentral:rRNA from 1 species
GGUUAAGCGACUAAGCGUACACGGUGGAUGCCCUGGCAGUCAGAGGCGAUGAAGGACGUGCUAAUCUGCGAUAAGCGUCGGUAAGGUGAUAUGAACCGUUAUAACCGGCGAUUUCCGAAUGGGGAAACCCAGUGUGAUUCGUCACACUAUCAUUAACUGAAUCCAUAGGUUAAUGAGGCGAACCGGGGGAACUGAAACAUCUAAGUACCCCGAGGAAAAGAAAUCAACCGAGAUUCCCCCAGUAGCGGCGAGCGAACGGGGAGCAGCCCAGAGCCUGAAUCAGUGUGUGUGUUAGUGGAAGCGUCUGGAAAGGCGUGCGAUACAGGGUGACAGCCCCGUACACAAAAAUGCACAUACUGUGAGCUCGAUGAGUAGGGCGGGACACGUGGUAUCCUGUCUGAAUAUGGGGGGACCAUCCUCCAAGGCUAAAUACUCCUGACUGACCGAUAGUGAACCAGUACCGUGAGGGAAAGGCGAAAAGAACCCCGGCGAGGGGAGUGAAAAAGAACCUGAAACCGUGUACGUACAA